rnacentral:rRNA from 1 species
CCUACGGGCGGCUGCAGUGGGGAAUAUUGCACAAUGGGCGCAAGCCUGAUGCAGCCAUGCCGCGUGUGUGAAGAAGGCCUUCGGGUUGUAAAGCACUUUCAGCGGGGAGGAAGGCGGUGAGGUUAAUAACCUCAUCGAUUGACGUGACCCGCAGAAGAAGCACCGGCUAACUCCGUGCCAGCAGCCGCGGUAAUACGGAGGGUGCAAGCGUUAAUCGGAAUUACUGGGCGUAAAGCGCACGCAGGCGGUCUGUCAAGUCGGAUGUGAAAUCCCCGGGCUCAACCUGGGAACUGCAUUCGAAACGGGCAGGCUAGAGUCUUGUAGAGGGGGGUAGAAUUCCAGGUGUAGCGGUGAAAUGCGUAGAGAUCUGGAGGAAUACCGGUGGCGAAGGCGGCCCCCUGGACAAAGACUGACGCUCAGGUGCGAAAGCGUGGGGAGCAAACAGGAUUAGAUACCCCUGUAGUC